GUUGUUGUGAAAUCGAUCAAAGUCAGCAAAGGAACUGCCACGAAAUUGGGGGUAUGUUUAGCAACGGGGUACAACUGAAUUAUUGGCGGAAAUAAACAUUCUAAAAUGUUUGCCAAAACAUUGCAAUGUUGUUGGUUUUAUUGGGGCAUUCGGCAUUAGGAACGCUCUCAAUGGUGGAAUAAAGAUUCUUUAUGAAUUCUGCCCAUAUGGUGAUCUCAAAAGUUUCUUCAAGAAAAAUAAACCAACUUGUUAAAAAGGCAGUCCAAGUUUUCAAAAUUUUGAUAAUCGUUCUAAAGCAGUUAAAAUAUUCACAUAAUUUGAUAAUCGAUCGAAAUAUGGUCCAGAAUUAGGUGAAAAAACAAAGGAAAGCUAAUUCAUACAUAGGUGCAUGCGCUCUCCGGCUAUACUACAACACCAGGUUAUAUCAGAAACACAAAAGGAAAUGACACAUUCCGUUCACCUUUAUCACCUACCUUCUCAUAUACAACAACGGAUCUGCUUAGUUGGGCGGCUCAAGUGGCAAGAGGCUUAUUAUCUUUGGCUUCGAAUAAACCUCCCAUCAUACAUUGUGAUCUAGCUGCUAGAAACAUUCUGUUUUGUGAUAAUAAAACGGUUAAAAUUGGUGAUUUCGGUCUAUCACGGACACUGAACGGAAGUGAAUAUUAUAAAAAAGACGGUUCGGCUCCUGAUCCAGUUCCAUGGAUGGCCAUCGAGUCUCGUCCAGAUACAGGAAUGGAACAGAAAUUCACUGUAAAAUCUGAUGUUUGGUCGUUCGAUGUCGUAAUUUGGGAACUAUUUUCGGAUGGAGAUGAUCCAAGUUACUUUACAAUCAAAGAAUUGAAAAAUGGCACCCGAUUACCACAACCCAAAAAGGCUAUGGAAGAAA